rnacentral:lncRNA from 1 species
GAUUUUAAAUCCUCAGACAAGGGUGAGGGAUGGCUGAGCAGGCAAGGCAACAGGCCUGUCACAACCAGGGGAGCUCCCUUUUGAUCUCUGUCACUAUAUAAUUGGGGUCCUGCUGUCAAAAACAGAUUUUGAAACAACUGAUCAAAUCCAACUCUGAAUUUUUUCAGACCUGAGAAUAAGCAUAAAAAUUAUUAGUGGUUGGAUCCAGAAGCAUGAUCAGGUUGAGGGUCAAUUUGUCUUGGUUUUUGUGUUUGGUAAACCUCAAACCAUUUGCUCUUUCUUUGAAAGCUGCACCAAAGCCAGCUGGAGCUUCAGGAGGUGCGUCUCUCCUGCCGACAGCUGCAGGUGAAGGUGGAAGAACUCACUGAGGAGAGGAGUCUGCAGAGCUCUGCCGCCACCAGCACAUCCCUCCUGUCAGAGAUCGAGCAGAGCAUGGAGGCUGAGGAGCUGGAGCAAGAGCGAGAGCAGGUGCUGACCUGCCUGUCACCCCACAGGCGAGGCUACCUGGGGUUGCUUAGGGCUCGUCCUCCUCCCUAGUGCUCAGCUGCCAUCCUGGCAAGGCUGUGCCCCUGUGCCUGUGUCAGCCCCUUGGCCUGCUGGCUAGAGUGUCAUGAGGCAGGCCCUGAUGGAGUAUGUCCCUGGCCCUCCAUUUUCCACCCACCUUAUCCAUUAAGGCAUUGAGCAGAAUUGCUAGAGGACAGAGUAUCAUAGGCACAGCCAAUUCCCACUCAUUGUCACCCCAGUUCCUCUUAGGAAAUGCUUGUGCCAUCAGCUCCAUACCUGUUAUACUGACAGAGU